rnacentral:lncRNA from 1 species
GAAGGUUUUUCUGCAUCUCUUUGAGUGACCUUUGGUUUCUCAAGUCUUCAAAUUAUGUGAGGUGCGACCCAGAGCUGCCACACUGAGCUGUAAAGCUCAGCUGUGCCUCCGAGCCAGGGCACUGGGCUGUAGCACCGAGCUGCUCUGCUCUGCCUGCCCAGCCGUCCUUGUAGACCGUGCACCACAUGAGUGCGGGACAGGAGCUCUGGACACUUGCACCGGGGAGGAGAUGAACACACUAUGCAUUGCUGUGUCAUUUAUUCUUUGCUUUCCAAACCUCUCCAAGCAACUCGAACACCCUGAACUUGGACGAUCCUGAGCUUCUCUUCCGUGGCAUGCUGAGCUUCCUGCUUCAUAGAAAGUCCAAGGGGAAGAGCUGAACUCAAGAAGUGACCACUGCUAUGAAGCCCAAAAGGAUUCACAGGAGACUUCGUUCUUGAAACAAAUUCCCAAGAGAAAAGUGGCAAAAGCACUGCUUGUUAAUUGGAACUAAAAGAAAUCAAAAGAGGUGAAAUGAAAGAGGUUGUUGGACUUGGAAAUUCUACAGGGAGUGAGCAGGUUGAAAAAACAAGUCAACUGCAAAUACAGGCUCCUUCUCAGAAAGGAAUCGAGAGCCCAGAGUACAGUACAGC